rnacentral:lncRNA from 1 species
GUCCCAGGAGCUACAGAAUUAUAUUCAUGAACUUUGAAUGACUUCAGUCAAGUCACUUUUCUUCUCUAAGUCUUAUUUCUCAUCUGUAUAAUGUGAGUGAGAGGUGAGGGGUGGGUAGGGGAUAUUGGGUAGGUGGCUACCUGUGAUCUCUACAUUGGGUAGAGGGCUGUGUUCACUAGAGUUCCAGAUUUUCUGUGAUUCUAAGAAGCCUUUGGAAUCUUGGAGUGAGUAUUCCCAGGGAACUCUGAUGUGCUGAAAAGCUCUCCUACAUCGUUGAUGUCAGCUGUGCCUGAGGCUUUUUAAUGGGUCAACAGACCCCAAAGGCUAUCUAUUUAAUGGCUGUGUUCAGACCAAGGUCAGCCAUCCGUCUAAGUGGACAACAGAAACUAAACCCUAGUCCUAUAGCCUGGAUCUCCUAGUCCACACCUUGAUGCCACACAGAAUAAUUUCUCAGAGCAAUGAACUUCUAUAUUAAAGAUUACUCUGGUCAGGCAUGGUGGCUAAUGCCUGUAAUCG